GUAGUUAGCCGGGGCUUCCUCCUUGGCUACCGUCAUUUCUUUCGUCACCAAGGACAGAGGUUUACAACCCGAAAGCCUUCUUCCCUCACGCGGCGUUGCUGGGUCAGGCUUGCGCCCAUUGCCCAAUAUUCCCCACUGCUGCCUCCCGUAGGAGUCUGGACCGUGUCUCAGUUCCAGUGUGGCCGAUCAGCCUCUCAGCUCGGCUACCCAUCGUCGACUUGGUGGGCCGUUACCCCGCCAACUAUCUAAUGGGACGCGAACCCCUCCUUUAGCGGAUUGCUCCUUUGACCGCUUCCCGAUGUCGGGGCGUGGUCUUAUGCGGUAUUAGCACUUGUUUCCAGGUGUUAUCCCCCUCUAAAGGGCAGGUUGUUCACGCGUUACUCACCCGUUCGCCACUAAGAUAAAACCCGAAAUCUUAUCUCCGUUCGACUUGCAUGUGUUAGGCACGCCGCCAGCGUUCGUCCUGAGCCAGAAUCAAACUCUGA
rnacentral:rRNA from 1 species